GGGGAACUGGAGUUAGUUGGCUGCUGUGAGGACAAGGAAGAGUCAGUGCCUGAGGAGCUGCCUGCAAGAAAACAUCAAGGAGACAUGAACCUCUGAUGUUUGUGGAUUAAUUUUCCUAACACCAUGUGGGCUCCGUGGGCAGCACCACCAUGCACAGAGAUCCUGGUGCUCUCCAUGCAGGGCACAGGAGAUGGCAAAUUGUAGGAACAGCUGAGCGAGGACCUAGGGAGCUCUGUGAAACACACCUGCUUCUGAGACACACCUGAGCUGGCUUUCUGCACUGAUGAGAAGAUUGGGGUGCUGCAGGACAAGCUGCAUCCUCUGAGGACACUGGGUACCAGCCCUGGCUGGAGCAUCCCAGCAUAUCCAGGCCAUGUGUCCACUCCCAGGCUGCAGAGAGUACAGGCAGCUCAGGGUCUGGCACUACCAACCACCCUAACUCAUGUAUUUGACAAAUAAAAUG